UCGGGAAUUUUGGGCAAUGGGGGAAACCCUGACCCAGCAACGCCGCGUGAAGGAUGAAGUAUUUCGGUAUGUAAACUUCGAAAGAAUAGGAAGAAUAAAUGACGGUACUAUUUAUAAGGUCCGGCUAACUACGUGCCAGCAGCCGCGGUAAUACGUAGGGACCAAGCGUUGUUCGGAUUUACUGGGCGUAAAGGGCGCGUAGGCGGCAAUUCAAGUCAUCUGUGAAAUCUCCGGGCUUAACUCGGAACGGUCAGAUGAUACUGCUUUGCUAGAGUGCAGAAGGGGCAAUCGGAAUUCUUGGUGUAGCGGUGAAAUGCGUAGAUAUCAAGAGGAACACCUGAGGUGAAGACGGGUUGCUGGGCUGACACUGACGCUGAGGCGCGAAAGCCAGGGGAGCAAACGGGGAUUAGAUACCCAUGUAGUCCCUGAGCGGGCUGGCAAGGCGCAU
rnacentral:rRNA from 1 species